UUGGGAAUUUUGGACAAUGGGGGAAACCCUGAUCCAGCCAUCCCGCGUGUGCGAUGAAGGCCUUCGGGUUGUAAAGCACUUUUGGCAGGAAAGAAACGUCAUGGGUUAAUACCCCGUGAAACUGACGGUACCUGCAGAAUAAGCACCGGCUAACUACGUGCCAGCAGCCGCGGUAAUACGUAGGGUGCAAGCGUUAAUCGGAAUUACUGGGCGUAAAGCGUGCGCAGGCGGUUCGGAAAGAAAGAUGUGAAAUCCUAGAGCUCAACUUUGGAACUGCAUUUUUAACUACCGGGCUAGAGUGUGUCAGAGGGAGGUGGAAUUCCGCGUGUAGCAGUGAAAUGCGUAGAUAUGCGGAGGAACACCGAUGGCGAAGGCAGCCUCCUGGGAUAACACUGACGCUCAUGCACGAAAGCGUGGGGAGCAAACAGG
rnacentral:rRNA from 1 species